GAACAGUGACAGCAGCUUUUUUAAUUACAAAGGAUUCUGCAGCACGGUUCUGAUGGCAUUAUGUGAUGCAAACUAAUUGUUUCACCUGGUUAAGUAUGGGGUAGAAGGCCAUGAAAAUGAUGCAUCAGUAUUCGGUCGUUCUGCCUGGAGCAAAAGAAUGGAAGCAGGCUCGCUGAAUGUGCCACCCACCAGCUGACGUAUGUGGGGUAAAAUUGCCACAUGUCAUAUUAGGUAGAUGGCAUUUCUGACAGAAAGAGUUGGAAUUCUCCAAACCACCAGGCAAUGUAAUCACUUUAGAUAUUAAAAAAAAAAUAUUUUAUUCACACUCUGACCUUUGCCAUGGGGAACAGUGCGAAUGUCUGGAUCUACAAUAAUCUCCCAACCAGGAAUAUUCUUCUGUAUAACAACGGUUCUCGACUUGCCACCCAAAUCAUGGACUUCGGUUCCGUCUGCACCGCAGCAGCUCCGCUUGAUUUCUUUCAACUAAACGACACCAAGGAAGACCGGUUCGACCACAUGAGUGAUAACCCAGAACAUGCACCGGAGCUAUUCCAUCCUGAUACGCUACCAACAUUUCAUCUGAUAAUUACAGCCUCAGCGUCAUCAUUGAGGCUAUUGGCGUCAACAGAAUCAUCUUUCCACUUAUGCAGUGGUCAAUGCUUAAGGAAUCCCCAAGCUGCAGACCAAACAUUGAUGCAAUAAUAAGUGAUCUCACAUUUGAACUGAAUUAUCAAAUUAAAAAUCCAACCUAAAUCUCAAUCAUUAUUUGUAAUCACAUUCGGAAAAUGUAAAUAUUUUGAAAAAUAUGUAAAAAUUUAAAUAUGUAAAUACUGGAAAUUCGUUUGUUCUUUCGUUCAUUCAUUCGGCAUUACUGCCCGGAAGACGCUAAAGCAGGAAACUUACUGUCGCCAAAGAACAUGUGACUCCCUAAAACAAUACAAUAACAAUGAAAUAAAGUGAACAAAAACAAAAUAAAAGGAACAUUGGAAGUAUUAUAAAAAGCUAUGGAAAAAAAUAAAUAAAUAAACAUUAUUCUCGUUUCUAGAUAUGUUACCUCAUGAACUAUGUAUAUUGCACUACCGAAUUCAAUGAACAUAAUAUUUUUACUAAUUUAAAAUAAAUUGAGUUUGCGAAA